CACGUAGGGUGCGAGCGUUGUCCGGGAUUAUUGGGCGUAAAGAGCUCGUAGGCGGGGUGUCGCGUCGGCCGUGAAAACCUGCAGCUUAACUGUGGGCCUGCGGUCGAUACGGGCAUCACUGGAGUUCGGCAGGGGAGACUGGAAUUCCUGGUGUAGCGGUGAAAUGCGCAGAUAUCAGGAGGAACACCGGUGGCGAAGGCGGGUCUCUGGGCCGAUACUGACGCUGAGGAGCGAAAGCGUGGGGAGCGAACAGG
rnacentral:rRNA from 1 species